AGAGACAGCAGCCGCCGCGGUAAAACAGAGGGUGCGAGCGUUAAUCGGAUUUACUGGGCGUAAAGCGUGCGUAGGCGGCUUCUUAAGUCGGAUGUGAAAUCCCUGAGCUUAACUUAGGAAUUGCAUUCGAUACUGGGAAGCUAGAGUAUGGGAGAGGAUGGUAGAAUUCCAGGUGUAGCGGUGAAAUGCGUAGAGAUCUGGAGGAAUACCGAUGGCGAAGGCAGCCAUCUGGCCUAAUACUGACGCUGAGGUACGAAAGCAUGGGGAGCAAACAGGAUUAGAUACCCCCGUAGUCCCUGUCUCUUAUAC
rnacentral:rRNA from 1 species